rnacentral:rRNA from 1 species
AACGAACGCUGGCGGCAUGCCUAACACAUGCAAGUCGAACGAACCCUUCGGGGUUAGUGACGCACGGGUGCGUAACGCGUGGGGAUCUGCCCAAAGGUUCGGAAUAACUCAGAGAAAUUUGAGCUAAUACCGGAUAAUGUCUUCGGACCAAAGAUUUAUUGCCUUUGGAUGAACCCGCGUAGGAUUAGCUUGUUGGUGGGGUAAAGGCCUACCAAGGCGACGAUCCUUAGCUGGUCUGAGAGGAUGAUCAGCCACACUGGGACUGAGACACGGCCCAGACUCCUACGGGAGGCAGCAGUGGGGAAUAUUGGACAAUGGGCGAAAGCCUGAUCCAGCAAUGCCGCGUGAGUGAUGAAGGCCUUAGGGUUGUAAAGCUCUUUUACCAGGGAUGAUAAUGACAGUACCUGGAGAAUAAGCUCCGGCUAACUCCGUG